CCUACGGGAGGCUGCAGUGAGGAAUAUUGGUCAAUGGACGAGAGUCUGAACCAGCCAAGUAGCGUGAAGGAUGACUGCCCUAUGGGUUGUAAACUUCUUUUAUAAAGGAAUAAAACGAGGCACGUGUGCCUUUUUGUAUGUACUUUAUGAAUAAGGAUCGGCUAACUCCGUGCCAGCAGCCGCGGUAAUACGGAGGAUCCGAGCGUUAUCCGGAUUUAUUGGGUUUAAAGGGAGCGUAGAUGGGUUGUUAAGUCAGUUGUGAAAGUUUGCGGCUCAACCGUAAAAUUGCAGUUGAUACUGGCAGUCUUGAGUACAGUUGAGGUAGGCGGAAUUCGUGGUGUAGCGGUGAAAUGCUUAGAUAUCACGAAGAACCCCGAUUGCGAAGGCAGCUUACUAAACUGUGACUGACAUUGAUGCUCGAAAGUGUGGGUAUCAAACAGGAUUAGAUACCCCUGUAGUC
rnacentral:rRNA from 1 species